rnacentral:rRNA from 1 species
AUUGAACGCUGGCGGCAUGCUUUACACAUGCAAGUCGAGCGGCAGCGCGGGGGCAACCCUGGCGGCGAGCGGCGAACGGGUGAGUAACGCAUCGGAACGUAUCCUGUAGUGGGGAAUAACUCAUCGAAAGGUGAGCUAAUACCGCAUAAGCUCUGAGGAGGAAAGCGGGGGACCGAAAGGCCUCGCGCUGCAGGAGCGGCCGAUGUCCGAUUAGCUAGUUGGUGAGGUAAAGGCUCUCCAAGGCGACGAUCGGUAGCUGGUCUGAGAGGAUGAUCAGCCACACUGGGACUGAGACACGGCCCAGACUCCUACGGGAGGCAGCAGUGGGGAAUAUUGGACAAUGGGCGAAAGCCUGAUCCAGCCAUGCCGCGUGAGUGAUGAAGGCCUUAGGGUUGUAAAGCUCUUUGUCCGGGAAGAUAAUGACUGUACCGGAAGAAUAAGCCCGGCUAACUUCGUGCCAGCAGCCGCGGUAA